GAACAAGUGACUCUCUUAAGGACUCACAGCUAGUGGGAGAGGUGCUGGGAUUUGAACUCAGACAGCCUGACCCUAACACCAGGGUUAACUGCAUCAUUUCUCAUCUCAGCCAUAAGUGUCCCUCCGCCGUGCUAUCCUGCCUUGGAGCCAGCUGACAAUGGACUGAAACCUCUACAAACUAUGGGGUCUUGCUAUGUCACCCAGGAUGGUCUCAAAUUCCUCGGUUCAAGUGAUCUUCCUGCCCAAGUCUCCGAGUAGCUGGAAUGACAGUCAUAUAAAGAUACAAGAAGAAGAUGGCUGUCUGCAAAUCAGGAAGACUGACCUCACCAGACAUUGGAUCUGCUGGUUGUACCUGGAUCUUGAACUUCCCAACCUUCAUAUGUGAUCAUGUGAGGAUCUGAAUGCUGAAACUGCCGUCACAAUGAAGGAAGAACCUGGAGCUGCUAAGUGGUCACUGUGAGGAGCUUGAAGAUGGAGCUACCUAGAUUUUAACUUGGAUCCUGAAACCAG
rnacentral:lncRNA from 1 species